GACGAACGCUGGCGGCGUGCCUAAUACAUGCAAGUUGAGCGAUGACGCUUGGUGCUUGCACCCAUUUGAAGAGCAGCGAACGGGUGAGUAACGCGUGGGGCAUCUGCUUCUGAGCGGGGGACAACAUUUGGAAACGAAUGCUAAUACCGCAUAACAACUUUAAACAUAAGUUUUAAGUUUGAAAGAUGCAAUUGCAUCACUCAAAGAUGAUUCCGCGUUGUAUUAGCUAGUUGGUGAGGUAAAGGCUCACCAAGGCGAUGAUACAUAGCCGACCUGAGAGGGUGAUCGGCCACAAUGGGACUGAAGCACGGCCCAAACUCCUUCGGGAGGCAGCAGUAGGGAAUCUUCGGCAAUAGACGAAAGUCUGACCGAGCAACGCCGCGGGAGUGGAGGAGGUUUUCGGAUCGUAAAACUCUGUUGGUAGAGAAGGACGUUGAUGAGAGUGGAAAGCUCAUCAAGUGACGGUAACUACCCAGAAAGGGACGGCUAACUACGUG
rnacentral:rRNA from 1 species